AGGCAGCGCCUGCCGGCCGCCGGCCGCCCGCCGCCGCCCCGCGCCGGGACAGGGGAUCGCUCCAGCCGCGGCGCCGCAGCCCGGAGCCAGAGAGCAGGGGAGCGCCGCGCCGGCCAGCCACCUGACGCAGCCCGCUCCGCGGUGCCGACGCGACUGAGUGUCCCCGCCGGGGAGCAGCGCUUCUAACCGGCCCCGAUGACGCCCCAGCCUCUUCAGAGGACCGACCCAUAGCAGCGGCCCCUAUAAACCGAAGGGGAAGCGCGAAAAAUCGGCCCACCGGGGACGCACCCAAAUGGGCCGCCGCGCACCCUGGGGGUGCGGGCCGGUGCGGGGACCGCGCGGGUGUGGGCCAGGGGCGCGCGGGCCGCGAUGGCGGGGGGCGCGGGCGCGCCCAAGACGGUGGGCGCUCAACCCCGCCUCCCAGACCUGCCUCCCAAUUUUCGGUGAGUGGUGUAGCCCUGGGCGGCGUGCAAAGUGUGCGACGGCGGCGCUUACCCCUGCUGUGCGCCUCCUUACCUCCAGCCACCCACCCCGCCCUCCCAGCGGCGCGCGCCCGCCGAGGUAGGUGUCAGAGAGCCGAAUUCGAAUUAUUUGCGACGCCCGACGGAGUUUCGUAUCUUCGGACGAGAAAAGUGCGAUGGGAGUGCAAAGGUGGCUGUGCUCGAAGCAGCAGGCGCGCCGGUGUCACGGGAGCCGAGGAGCGGUGGCCGUGGCUGUGGAGUCGGUGCUCGAGGCGUCCUCCCAGGGUUGCAGUGACCUAA
rnacentral:lncRNA from 1 species